rnacentral:rRNA from 1 species
UACGGGGGGGGCAAGCGUUGUUCGGAAUUACUGGGCGUAAAGGGUUUGUAGGUGGCUUGCUAAGUCAGACGUGAAAUCCCUCAGCUUAACUGGGGAACUGCGUCUGAUACUGGCGAGCUUGAGUGCAGGAGAGGAACGCGGAAUUCCAGGUGUAGCGGUGAAAUGCGUAGAUAUCUGGAGGAACACCGGUGGCGAAGGCGGCUCUCUGGACUGGAACUGACGCUGAGGAGCGAAAGCGAGGGGAGCAAACGGG